rnacentral:lncRNA from 1 species
GUUAAAUAGCUGCAAAAAUACGAAUUUAUCGAAAAAUUACCAAAAAUAGUAAAAUCCUAACGAUCACACCAAAAUAAAAUAUGAAAUAAAAGAAGUAAGUUGCCAAAAAUUUGGCUCAAUCCGGAUUCUCUAACGUCUAGAAAAAGGGAAAUGAAAUAUUACCAUAAAUAGUAAAAAAUAACUAAAAAUUGAAUUUCGAAAAUAAAUACAGUGGAUUUUGGGCUCGAAAUUGAUGCCCACCGAGCAUAGUUUGGAGACCACGACGUGAGCGCCGAAGAGAGCUUUUCGAAUUGGGGUCAUAAUAGCGAUUCUGAUAACCGUAGCCAAAGUUAUGGUCAAAUUACCAAAGACGUGUCAAAAUUGCCCCAAUUAAGGAAAGAUUGCAUUUAUUUUCCAUCUUUCCGCCUAUCCGCCAUCUCAUGGUAUCUCAGCGCCAUCAACGAGCUAUUUGACAGAUUAGCGUCACUCGACUCGAAUCCUCCUAUAUCAAGAAGACUC